UGGGGAAUAUUGCACAAUGGGCGAAAGCCUGAUGCAGCAACGCCGCGUGAGUGAUGAAGGCCUUCGGGUUGUAAAGCUCUGUCUUCUGGGACGAUAAUGACGGUACCAGAGGAGGAAGCCACGGCUAACUACGUGCCAGCGGCCGCGGUAAUACGUAGGUGGCAAGCGUUGUCCGGAUUUACUGGGCGUAAAGGAUGCGUAGGCGGAUACUUAAGUCAGAUGUGAAAAUCCCGGGCUUAACUUGGGAACUGCAUUUGAAACUGGGUAUCUAGAGUGCGGGAGAGGAAAGUGGAAUUCCUAGUGUAGCGGUGAAAUGCGUAGAGAUUAGGAAGAACACCAGUGGCGAAGGCGACUUUCUGGACCGUAACUGACGCUGAGGCAUGAAAGCGUGGGGAGCAAACA
rnacentral:rRNA from 1 species